rnacentral:rRNA from 1 species
UACGUAGGUGGCAAGCGUUGUCCGGAUUUAUUGGGUUUAAAGGGUGCGUAGGCGGUCUAUUAAGUCAGUGCUGAAAUAUCCCGGCUUAACCGGGAGGGUGGCAUUGAUACUGAUGGACUUGAGUGCAGUCGGGGUAGGCGGAAUUGACGGUGUAGCGGUGAAAUGCUUAGAUAUCGUCAAGAACACCGAUAGUGAAGACAGCUUACUAGGCUGUAACUGACGCUGAGGCACGAAAGUGUGGGGAUCAAACAGG